AACGAACGCUGGCGGCAUGCCUAACACAUGCAAGUCGAACGAACCCUUCGGGGUUAGUGGCGCACGGGUGCGUAACGCGUGGGAAUCUGCCCUUUGCUUCGGAAUAACUCAGGGAAACUUGUGCUAAUACCGGAUGAUGUCUUCGGACCAAAGAUUUAUCGGCAAGGGAUGAGCCCGCGUAGGAUUAGGUAGUUGGUGGGGUAAAGGCCUACCAAGCCGACGAUCCUUAGCUGGUCUGAGAGGAUGAUCAGCCACACUGGGACUGAGACACGGCCCAGACUCCUACGGGAGGCAGCAGUGGGGAAUAUUGGACAAUGGGCGCAAGCCUGAUCCAGCAAUGCCGCGUGAGUGAUGAAGGCCCUCGGGUCGUAAAGCCCUUUUACCAGGGAUGAUAAUGACAGUACCUGGAGAAUAAGCUCCGGCUAACUCCGUG
rnacentral:rRNA from 1 species